UCCUUGAUAGCUCAGUCGGUAGAGCGUUGCACUGUUAAUGCAAAUGUCCGUGGAUCGUCCCCACGUCAGGGAGCCA
rnacentral:tRNA from 1 species